UCGUGUGGCGGUGGUGAAGAAAGAGAAGAAAGAGGAAAGGAUUGAUAGUUUACCUAGUCAGAAUAUGAAUAAUAAUGAUAAUAAUAACAAUCACGAAUUAAAAAUCAAGAAAGAAGAAGAAAU
rnacentral:ribozyme from 1 species